AAGCCAGUGGUGAACUCCACAUACGCAUCCUUUGCUGAGGAUACGGUUAACGGAGCGAAAGCGACGUUCAACCGCAAAAGAAGCAGAGGGGGCUUAGUGGUGGGGUGACUGCGUACCUUUUGUAUAAUGGGUCAGCGACUUAUAUUCUGUAGCAAGGUUAACCGAAUAGGGGAGCCGGAGGGAAACCGAGUCUUAAUUGGGCGUUAAGUUGCAGGGUAUAGACCCGAAACCCGGUGAUCUAGCCAUGGGCAGGUUGAAGGUUGGGUAACACUAACUGGAGGACCGAACCGACUAAUGUUGAAAAAUUAGCGGAUGACCUGUGGCUGGGGGUGAAAGGCCAAUCAAACCGGGAGAUAGCUGGUUCUCCCCGAAAGCUAUUUAGGUAGCGCCUCGUGAAUUCAUCUCCGGGGGUAGAGCACUGUUUCGGCUAGGGGGCCAUCCCGGCUUACCAACCCGAUGCAAACUGCGAAUACCGGAGAAUGUUAUCACGGGAGACACACGGCGGGUGCUAACGUCCGUCGUGAAGAGGGAAACAACCCAGACCGCCAGCUAAGGUCCCAAAGUCAUGGUUAAGUGGGAAACGAUGUGGGAAGGCCCAGACAGCCAGGAUGUUGGCUUAGAAGCAGCCAUCAUUUAAAGAAAGCGUAAUAGCUCACUGGUCGAGUCGGCCUGCGCGGAAGAUGUAACGGGGCUAAACCAUGCACCGAAGCUGCGGCAGCGAACGUAUCACCCAAGACAACUUUACGGAGUUGACGAUUGACGGAGCGAAGCGACGUCAAAGCGUUCAUUAAAGUCGAGUUGGCUUAGGGAUACGUU
rnacentral:rRNA from 1 species